UGAGGUUGCGGGGAUGAGCACCAUGGCCUGGAAAAGGCGGUUCUCAAUGCAGAAAGAAGAGGGACCUGGUUGGGUGGGUGGGAGGAAGGCGUGAGUCUGAAAGGGUUGCAGAUGCAUGCUCCCUGGCAUCCUCACGUGCGAUGCCAGGUGGAGGCUCCCUUCCCCCUAUUUCCUGGUCCCGCUCAAUUUCCUUGCCACUUGUCCACCAAGAAGAAAUUUUCCUGGGUCAAGAAUAUUUCCAAGCGAUUUUGUCCCGGUCACAUGAGAUGUGUAGAUUGCACGCGCAUUUCUAGCCUUUCCCCUCAGCAGCUAGCCCAGGUCUCCUCAGUUUCCUCCAGAAACCCACUCUCUUCUGCUCAAAAAUAAAUCCGCUAAUGCAUCCCUUACCACCACGGUUCUAUUUACUGAGAAAUCUUACAUUUCGAUACCUCCCAAAAUUCACCAAGCGUGGGCACUUGGUUACAACUUUGCAUACCUGAAAAUAAAAUAGAAAACUUGCCUCCAGUAAGCAUGCGAGAGCGAGGGCAGGGCUUUGAAACUUCCACUUGCUUGGCGGGCGACAGGGUCCGCUGGGGGCAGAGUCGUUUACACACAAGUGAGCGGCGCUGUAAUGAGCAGGAGGAACAGUCAUGUCCCAUCUGGGACCUGUCGCAUCAGGAGAAUAUCUGCAGUCACCUAUUCCGCCCGGGGCCCCAAAUGCGCCACCAGCAGUGUCGCCCCGUUUUUUCAUUGUCUCAGGUGUCCAGAGGAUGAUGACCAGGUCUUUGAAGUUGUUAAUGGGAUUAAUGGGUACAGCAAACUGGGCUAGACAUCUGGUUUGAAUUAGGAAAAAGUAUUGAUUAAUCUUUGAGAGGUGUCCCCAAAGCAGAACCUUUCCCUCCUCUUCCAGUCCCCCUGCUUAAGCCUCCCUAUCUUCUUUUCUUUUAAGUCACACUGCAGAAUAGUGGCUUCGCAAUAACAUCCGUGUGAAAGAUCGAAUUGUUUUCUAUUGCUUAGAGGUGGGGUGGAGUGGGGGUUGAUCAGGAAUUCUGAGAUUUGUAAGCGCUGCUUUCUUUAACGGAAAUUGAGCUCUAUUUUGAGGGAAAUUAGUUUUGCAGACUUCGUUUAAAAAAAAAAAAAAAAAACCAAAACUUUUGUUCACCAGCUGCUCAGCUUUUCAGUCUGGGUCUGAGCUGAAACUUGCUGCAAGUCUGACGUUAAUGAUGCGAUUUGAUCAAAGUUGAAAUUUUGGAUUUUAAGAUCUGAUCAUACCUUCAUCAGAUAGACCCCACCAGGCAAAGGGCUCAGGCCCAGGUAGCACCACUUGGAAUCCUUCCAGAACCAAAGACAAGCACGUACCAAAUUACAUAUAUAUCUGUCAAAAUGAUGUAGGACCUAAAGUCUCUCUGUAAGUUGAUCCUUUUGACCCCAUGAUUAGGAGCUUCACAAUGUGGUACCACACCUGGAAACCUCCAGAACAAGAUCUCAAGGAAACACAGGAAAUUCCUGAAACAGCAAAACCCCCUAUGUGAAGACGUCUGUUAUUCCUUUGUGUAUCAGGAGCAUCACUGUCAAUUAACUGUUGAUACACUUAAAACACCUUGGUUGGCAAUGUCCUUUUUGAAAAAAGAAGAGCCAGGUGUGUUUUUCAGGAUGAACUAGACAAUGCUGUCACAAGUUUACCUCAAAAAUGUCCUGCAUAUCGUGGCAGUGGUUGGCUCUCCAGGCAGCAGUUGGCGCUGUGAAUCAGUCAUCUCAGCAUGUGUCUCCAACAUCCCACAGCAGGGGAAAAAAGAGGUGGAGGGUCACAUGCCUGGUGUUAUAUACUUUGAGGCAGAGGUGGUAGGUGCCACUUCUGCUCACAGCUCAGGGACCAGAACAAAGCCAUGCAUACCUGAGAGAGGACCAGAAAAUAUUCUGAAGCACAUGGCUAUUUGAGACAAGAUCUUCCUCUGUCUGGGGUGAAGUGGUGCAAUCAUAGCUCACUGCAGCUUCAGACUCCUGAGCUCAAGUGAUCCUCCUGCCUCAGCCUCCCUGGUAGCUGGGACUACAGCAGGCUGUGAAGGCACAAGUCAGUUACAUGAAGAAGUGGACCAAAUGUCCCAGGUCUCCGCUCCUGCUACCCUGGCUUCUCUCUCUCAGCCUGCACCUGUGGUCUCAUGGAGUUCCCAAUGAUCACUUGACGGAAGAAGAGAAGACUAGGGCCUGGUUACAAGAUGUUCUGUGUAAUACUGAGGCAUCACCCUAAAGGGGACAGCUGCAGCAAAAAUAGAACAAAAAGGUUUCGAAAGGGCACAUUUGCUCACUGAGCUGGGACAUGUAUUGUCUCCUGCCCUUGGACAUCAGCACUCCUGGUUCGCAGGCCUUUGGACUUUGACGAGGAUUUCCAUCAUGGCUUCUCCUUGUUCUCAGGUCUUUUGACUCAGACGUCUUACGCCAUUGGCUUUCCUGCUUCUCCAGCUGGCAGAUCCUGGGACUUCUUGGCCUCCAUAAUCAUGAAAAGAAGAGAUGGAAGGAAACUGUUGCUUCAUUUUCUGUUCAUGGAAGGGGGGAGAGAGAAUAUCUGAGUUGGAUGGGAGCAGGCACAGACAGCAGAAGCUAAGAACAUUCCUCACCAGACUGCAAAUAUGAAACUUGUUUUUGAAUUGCUGAGAAAAGAGGAAGGAAUGUUUUUAUAUGUAACAAUAAAUCACAUCCUGACAGCGCCAUCUACCAGUCACAGUUCAAACUGCAAGGGAAAACAGAGUUCUAAAACAAAGCUUCUGAUUAAGCAGAAAAAUUACUUGAGCAUUUUGAAAUAAAUGUCCUUUUGGGGCCCAAGAUGUCUACCACCCAGCUGGAAAAGCAGGAAAGACCAUGUAAACUUGAGAACCAGUGCAAGUGGUGAGGCUGAGGAGCAAGCAUGUUUCCAAGAUGAAGCACAAAUGCUUUUAUGGCUUCCAGGGCAGGGGAUGCUGCAUGCUCAAUGCAUACGUUCUAUUCAAAUGUGGAAUGAAUGAUGAAAAGAUGGUUCUUUCCUUGUAUGUUAUUUUGGAUAUGUGGCUGGUCAAAGACUCCUAUAAGGACCAAUAAAAAGGAAGAGUUCAUCUGUUCCACAGUAUCAGCUUACUGAGCAACGUUAUCCAGGGAGCCCUAUACCUCUGGCCCUUGCUGAUUAGACAAGAAUAAGCAUUUGGUUAUUUGUGACAAACCUGAUUUUUUUCCAGUGAUUCAUACUAAUAGUGCCAGAGAUAUUCUGAGUGAUUCAAAGAAACCAUUUAGCUUUGGAUUGACAAAUUUCCAGGGGAGGAUUUUCACCUAAAAGAACAGACUGUGGAAAGACCUACGGGCUUAUGUGAUGAAGGAAAAACAAAGAGAAAUCAAAAGAUGAGGAAAGAACUUGAAAGUUAAAUUCUGUGUUACUUCAUAUCCGUAAGUGAUUUCUUCUAUAUAAUUUACACUGUAAUAUUCUUUAAAUGAACAAAAAUAUUAUGUAUAUUUGUAAAAGGCCCUAUGCAUACACUGGUAAGAAAUGUGUUAAAAAUGAAAGAAAAAUGCUGACAUGCCUAGGAAUGAUUAUGAUAAUGAUAACGAUUGUAAAUAUUAUGGGCCAGACACUCUACCAAUACAACAAAAAUAACGGCAAUAAACUUUACAUGGAUGAUAACAUUGAAUUCUAACAACAGUUUUAUGAAUUUAGAAAUGUUAUGUCUAUUUUAUGAAUAAGGAAACCUAGACUUAGAGCAGUUAAAUCACAGUCCAAAGUUAUACAGCUGUAAUAUGGUGGAUUCAAAUUGCAAAAUCAACUGAGUAUUGUUUUAGAGUCCACGAUCUUAAGCACUCUGCUUUAAUAUACUUAGAGGAAAACUUUCCUCAAUUUCUGGAGAUGAAGAAAUGGAAAAUUAUCCAAGCUAGUGGCAAUGCAAACCAUCUGAGAAAGGAGAGUCUGGGAGUGUGACUGUCUGAGACACAUCAUUUCAUCCCAGCUGGUGCUCUCGGGAAGAAUUAGGACUUUGUAAGAAAUACUUAAUUUGAAAAAGAUUAUCUUAACACUUCUGUGGAAGGUCGACCAGAAAAAAGAAGAUACAUGAUAAGACUAUUUUAGUAAUUAAAAUGAAAUGAAAAUGUCCAGUUUGGGGUUAUAAUGAUCAAGGUUUAUAGAAGCUGGUAAAGGAGAAAAAUUGUUACAGAUCAUUUAAAAUUUUGAGUCUGGUGGACUGAAAAAAUAAUGAUGCCAUUGGGAGCAAAAGUAAAAUUAUAAAGUGUCUGUUUUUUGAUGAGGGAAAAAAUAUAUUUCACUGGUGGUAUAAUCAAGCUGUGAGCAAAGAUGUGAGAUAGAUCUUUUCUUAUUCAAGUGAAUUAUCUUCCUGUUCUGUUCUAGUCAGGCUUUCUGAGUGUGCAGGUCAGCAUCUUAACCUCAAAUUAUUCUUUUAGCUCAUCUUAUUGUGGUGUUUGUCUUGUUCUUUGAGACUGUGUCUUCUCAUCUCAUAUCCAUUCUUCAUUAGCUGGAUAGUACACUAUCUUAUAUGCUGAUAUCCUGUCUUGUAUCUCAAAAAGAUCCAUGGUUAUGGAGGCCAGUAGCUUAACCCAGUGGUUGGAGAUUCUAACUAGUAGUAGCUCUUCGGUGCCAACUUUAUACAUACUUGGAUUUUGACUUACUGACUGAUACGCACAAUUCUUGUAGUGUCAUAUUGUUUACCUUCCAAUAUGUCAGCUUGAUAACUUUCCUCAAAUAACCUUGAUUCUCAAAGGAACAUCAUCAUAGAUGUCUACCAAGUUUCCAAAGAUCAGCCAUUUCCAGUGGAGCAGAUUGUACUCGGGCCAUAGUCCAAAUACUUAUUUUCUUUAAUUCCCCUGUAUAUUCAUUAUGCCUUGAUGUUAUUUAAUAGAUCAGAUAUAUUUAUUACACAUUUGCAUAUAUAUUAAUACACAUGUGCACUCUGAUCUAUUUAUUAUGUUUAUUAAUUACUUUCUUUGUUUACCAAAAUUGGAAUCAUGCUACAAAUAUUGGUGUGUUUUUUAAAUUUUUAUCCACUUACUCAAUUAUCAUAUGUACCAUUUUAGGUUAGUACCUCAUUCUUUUUAAUAGUUUUAUAGUAAUUUUUAAAUAUAGGUACUAUAAUUCUUUAUCUCAUUUUAUUGUUUAUUGAUAUUGAGCCUGCAAAUAACAUUUAUAAUGAAUAUCAUUUAUGCAUAAGUGUCUCUGAUUGCAUGUGUAUGUGCUGUAGAGGUUAGACUAAUGUAACUAAAGAAUAGAUUCUUAGAUUUUCGAUUUCUGGGGGAAAGAGAGGACAAUCUUAAAAGUAUAUACAUAUUCCCAGUUUACUCUCCAAAACCCAUAUCUACUCACACCAAAUAUUUAUGACUAUACACUCUGCCCCACCUUUGCCCACACCAAAUAUGUCAAAUCUUUUUAUUUAAGUAGCUAGGUAAAUAGUAUAACUUUAUUUUAUUAGAUUAAUGAAGUUGAACAUCUUUUUAUGUGUUUGCUGGCCAUUUAUAUGUCUUCUAAUGUCAAGUUGAACUCUUAUUUUCUUUA